rnacentral:rRNA from 1 species
GCAUAUCAAUAAGCGGAGGAAAAGAAACCAACCGGGAUUGCCUCAGUAACGGCGAGUGAAGCGGCAAGAGCUCAAAUUUGAAAGCUGGCUCCUUCGGGGUCCGCAUUGUAAUUUGCAGAGGAUGCUUCGGGUGCGGCCCCUGUCUAAGUGCCCUGGAACGGGCCGUCAGAGAGGGUGAGAAUCCCGUCUGGGAUGGGGUGUCCGCGCCCGUGUGAAGCUCCUUCGACGAGUCGAGUUGUUUGGGAAUGCAGCUCUAAAUGGGUGGUAAAUUUCAUCUAAAGCUAAAUACUGGCCGGAGACCGAUAGCGCACAAGUAGAGUGAUCGAAAGAUGAAAAGCACUUUGAAAAGAGAGUUAAAAAGCACGUGAAAUUGUUGAAAGGGAAGCGCUUGCGACCAGACUCGCCUCCAGGGUUCAGCCGGCAUUCGUGCCGGUGUACUUCCCUGGGGGCGGGCCAGCGUCGGUUUGGGCGGCCGGUCAAAGGCUCCCGGAAUGUAGUGCCCUCCGGGGCACCUUAUAGCCGGGAGUGCAAUGCGGCCAGCCUGGACCGAGGAACGCGCUUCGGCACGGACGCUGGCAUAAUGGUCGUAAACGACCCGUCUUGAAACACGGACCAAGGAGUCUAACAUCUACGCGAGUGUUCGGGUGUCAAACCCGUACGCGCAGUGAAAGCGAACGGAGGUGGGAGCCCCCUCGUGGGGCGCACCAUCGACCGAUCCUGAUGUCUUCGGAUGGAUUUGAGUAAGAGCGUAAAUGUGGGGACCCGAAAGAUGGUGAACUAUGCCUGAAUAGGGCGAAGCCAGAGGAAACUCUGGUGGAGGCUCGCAGCGGUUCUGACGUGCAAAUCGAUCGUCAAAUUUGGGUAUAGGGGGCGAAAGACUAAUCGAACCAUCUAGUAGCUGGUUCCUGCCGA